GAUCAUGGCUCAGGAUGAACGCUGGCGGCGUGCCUAACACAUGCAAGUCGAACGGAGAUUGACGCUGCAGAGACUUCGGUCAAAGCUUGUAAAUCUUAGUGGCGGACGGGUGAGUAACGCGUGGGCAACCUGCCUCGUACUGGGGGAUAACAGUUGGAAACGACUGUUAAUACCGCAUAAGCGCACGGUACCGCAUGGUACAGUGUAGAAAAACUCCGGUGGUACGAGAUGGGCCCGCGUCAGAUUAGCCAGUUGGUGGGGUAACGGCCUACCAAAGCAACGAUCUGUAGCCGGACUGAGAGGUCGGACGGCCACAUUGGGACUGAGACACGGCCCAAACUCCUACGGGAGGCGGCAGUGGGGGAUAUUGCACAAUGGGCGAAAGCCUGAUGCAGCGACGCCGCGUGAGUGAAGAAGUAUUUCGGUAUGUAAAGCUCUAUCAGCAGGGAAGAAAGACUCGUAAGAGAGAUGACGGUACCUGACUAAGAAGCCCCGGCUAACUACGUGCCAGCCGCAGC
rnacentral:rRNA from 1 species